rnacentral:misc_RNA from 1 species
GAUGAAGAACGCAGCGAAAUGCGAUAAGUAAUGUGAAUUGCAGAAUUCAGUGAAUCAUCGAAUCUUUGAACGCACCUUGCACCCUUUGGCAUUCUGAAGGGUAUGCUCGUUUGAGUGUCAUUGUACUCUCACACUCCCGAUCUUUGCAUUGGGUGCAGUGGACUUGGGUUUGCUGCUUCACCGUCGCUUACCUCAAAUAGGUUAGUGCAACUCUUGGUUGGACAUAGUACGGCGUGAUAAGUGUUCUUCGCCGGUGCCUCGCAAAGAGGGUGGCCGAUCGGGAUGUUGUGCUCCAAACCGUCUUCGGACAAUCUCUGACGACUUGACCUCAAAUCGAGUAAGACUACCCGCUGAACUUAAGCAUAUCAAUAAGCGGAGGA